GGUCUGUUGGCCCAAUGGCAAGGCGUCUGACUACGACUUCAUCGCGAACGCGUCAAUCAGGAGAUUGCAGGUUCGACCCCUGCACAGAUCA